GUCCCACAUCUUUAACGGCGGAAAUACUUCCCUCUCUUCCGUUUCUCUCUCUCACACACUCUCUCUCUCUGAUCAACCCAAUUUCGAAACUCACUAAAUGCUCUGAUCUCCCACCUCAAUAAUCCAUUCAAUUUACGUUUUCCAACCCUAACCCCAUCUCACCAACCCCUAAUUCUUCCUUCCUUCCUUCACCCACAAUCUCCCCUACAAAAAGCUCCAAUCUUGAAUCCAAUUGAUUGAAAUUUGAAUAAGAUGGGGGCGAUGACGUCAACGGUGGCGGCGAAGUUCGCCUUCUUUCCUCCGAAUCCGCCGUCGUACAGGGUGGAGGAGGAGGAGGGUGGAAGGCUGAGGAUGACGGAUGUGUCGGAGAGGGAAAACGUCGACGUUUUGAAGCUGAAGACGAAAAAGGGGACGGAGAUUGUGGCGGCGUAUGUGAAGAAUAAAACGGCGUCGUUGACGUUGCUUUAUUCUCACGGCAACGCUGCUGAUCUCGGUCAGAUGUAUGAUUUGUUUUGUGAGCUCAGUAUUCAUCUUCGAGUUAAUUUGUUAGGGUACGACUACACAGGAUAUGGACAGUCGACCGGUAAGCCAAGUGAACAGAAUACAUAUGCUGACAUAGAAGCUGCAUAUAGAUGCCUUUUAGAGACUUAUGGUGUGAAAGAAGAAGAUAUUAUAUUAUACGGUCAGUCCGUUGGUAGUGGGCCUACUCUAGAUUUGGCAUCUCGUUUAUCCAGAUUACGGGCCGUUGUCCUUCACAGCCCAAUUCUAUCUGGACUUAGAGUCAUGUAUCCUGUGAAAAGAACAUAUUGGUUUGAUAUUUAUAAGAAUAUUGACAAAAUCCCGUUGGUCAGGUGUCCUGUUCUUGUUAUUCACGGCACUGCUGAUGAUGUUGUAGAUUACUCUCACGGUAAGCAGCUUUGGGAGUUAUGUGUAGAGAAAUAUGAACCGUUAUGGAUCAAAGGUGGGAACCACUGUGAUUUGGAGUUGUACCCGGAGUAUAUAAGGCACCUUAAGAAGUUCAUAUCAGCUGUUGAAAAAUCUGGUCGUUUGAAGAACAUGCAGGGGUCGUUAACAGAUAACGAUUCGAAACCUCGGGUCAGUACAGAUUGUAGAGAGAAAUCAAGGCCCAGCACAGAUGUUCCGGAACAUUCUCGGCCGAGCACAAGCACGGAAAAGUCAAGAACCAGCGUUGACAAACGGGAAAAGGCAAAGAAGAGUGUGGAAAACGUGGAAAAGUCAACCAAUGCCGUUGACCAACCCGAGAAAGCAAGAAACAGCAUUGAUCGGUCUGAUUUGGAGGUAUGAUGCGCGCAGCAGUUUUGUGCAAUAUCGAUUGUUUCAAGCCAACAGGUGCAACGGGAUCAUAAGUUCAGAUGUAUCUCUAUGAUGCUGAACAAAGUAUUGGUAGAGUUGGAUUUAACAAUGUUGACUGUUUCAAUAGAAAACUCGUGGUUGUAGAUACGCUUGAAGGAUAACUGGAAACGAUCUGCAAUGGUUUGAAUCGAGCGGAGGGGACUUGAGGAUUAUGGCAACAAUGUUAAUAUCAGCGAGAUUGUUUCACAGAUUUGUGUCGGUUGUCGACCGUAUUUAAACAAAGGGUAGGUUUUAAUGAUUUUGUGGUUCAACUUUUGUUGGGUGAAGAAUCUUGAGUUGCAAGAUGUUUCAUGUUGUUUUAGCAUAUAAGUUUGUUAAUGUACAAAGGUAUUGCAAUUUUGGCAUUUCUUGGUUUCA